AUAAGACAUAAUUUCUUAAAACAGCAGAGCAAAUAUAAGUGACGUUGUCUUAAAUCAAGAUACCAAAACAUUCUCAUUAAAUAUAUAUUUUUUAUUCCACAAGCAAGCAUGUGGUAAGAAAGCAUGUUCUUUGUUGUUUUGCCGUUCUCAUCUGGUCGUUGUAUUAUGUUGUCUUUUGUACAGACGAGCCUACUGACAUCUUUAUAUGUCAGAUAAUGGAUGAGGCAGCAGGUUCUGUCAGGUUUAGAUGACCUACAAUGGAAAUCUUAAUAAAACAAAUAAAUAAACAACUGUUGUUUAAUGGCAUUCUUAAAUUGAGAAGUGGUACAUAUGUCUUACUCUUAAAAUGAGACGAAUGAUCUUGUUGCUCCGCUG